GUAAAUAUGCCGUUGAUUAAGCAUUCUUGUUCUGUUAAAUAAUUGACUUGGGGUAAAGUGUUUAAAAAACCGUUAACUUGACGUAAUUGCACUACCACGUGACCCCCGAUUCGUUAAAAUUCAAAGGCGAAGUUUGCUCCGGAUUUUUAAAAAAUGUUUUAAAAUGAAGCCGAGACGGCUGCCGACAUGUAAAAGUGGAGCGAGAAGUUGGAAGUUAAUAAAACAGCGCAGCCCAGCAAUUGCAGAGACGGUCGUCGGAAACUUUGUUAAACUGACAAAACGGGACAAUUCAGGUUUUAGAAAGAGCCACUUUACCGAAUACAGUCGAUGCUUUUUAUCAGUAUAUGGAGUAAU